UACGUAGGGUGCGAGCGUUGUCCGGAAUUACUGGGCGUAAAGAGCUCGUAGGUGGUUUGUCGCGUUGUUCGUGAAAACCGGGGGCUUAACCCUCGGCGUGCGGGCGAUACGGGCAGACUUGAGUACUGCAGGGGAGACUGGAAUUCCUGGUGUAGCGAUGGAAUGCGCAGAUAUCAGGAGGAACACCGGUGGCGAAGGCGGGUCUCUGGGCAGUAACUGACGCUGAGGAGCGAAAGCGUGGGGAGCGAACGGG
rnacentral:rRNA from 1 species